GACGAACGCUGGCGGCGUGCUUAACACAUGCAAGUCGAACGGAAAGGCCCUGCUUUUGUGGGGUGCUCGAGUGGCGAACGGGUGAGUAACACGUGAGUAACCUGCCCUUGACUUUGGGAUAACUUCAGGAAACUGGGGCUAAUACCGGAUAGGAGCUCCUGCUGCAUGGUGGGGGUUGGAAAGUUUCGGCGGUUGGGGAUGGACUCGCGGCUUAUCAGCUUGUUGGUGGGGUAGUGGCUUACCAAGGCUUUGACGGGUAGCCGGCCUGAGAGGGUUACCGGCCACAUUGGGACUGAGAUACGGCCCAGACUCCGACGUGAGGCAGCAGUGGGGAAUAUUGCACAAUGGGCGGAAGCCUGAUGCAGCAACGCCGCGUGCGGGAUGACGGCCUUCGGGUUGUAAACCGCUUUCGCCUGUGACGAAGCGUGAGUGACGGUAAUGGGUAAAGAAGCACCGGCUAACUACGUG
rnacentral:rRNA from 1 species